rnacentral:rRNA from 1 species
ACGAACGCUGGCGGCGUGGAUAAGACAUGCAAGUCGAACGAGAGAAUUGCUAGCUUGCUAAUAAUUCUCUAGUGGCGCACGGGUGAGUAACACGUGAGUAACCUGCCCCCGAGAGCGGGAUAGCCCUGGGAAACUGGGAUUAAUACCGCAUAGUAUCGAAAGAUUAAAGCAGCAAUGCGCUUGGGGAUGGGCUCGCGGCCUAUUAGUUAGUUGGUGAGGUAACGGCUCACCAAGGCGAUGACGGGUAGCCGGUCUGAGAGGAUGUCCGGCCACACUGGAACUGAGACACGGUCCAGACACCUACGGGUGGCAGCAGUCGAGAAUCAUUCACAAUGGGGGAAACCCUGAUGGUGUGACGCCGCGUGGGGGAAUGAAGGUCUUCGGAUUGUAAACCCCUGUCAUGUGGGAGCAAAUUAAAAAGAUAGUACCACAAGAGGAAGAGACGGCUAACUCUGUGCCAGCAGCCGCGGUAAUACAGAGGUCUCAAGCGUUGUUCGGAAUCACUGGGCGUAAAGCGUGCGUAGGCUGUUUCGUAAGUCGUGUGUGAAAGGCGCGGGCUCAACCCGCGGACGGCACAUGAUACUGCGAGACUAGAGUAAUGGAGGGGGAACCGGAAUUCUCGGUGUAGCAGUGAAAUGCGUAGAUAUCGAGAGGAACACUCGUGGCGAAGGCGGGUUCCUGGACAUUAACUGACGCUGAGGCACGAAGGCCAGGGGAGCGAAAGGGAUUAGAUACCCCUGUAGUCCUGGCAGUAAACGGUGCACGCUUGGUGUGCGGGGAAUCGACCCCCUGCGUGCCGGAGCUAACGCGUUAAGCGUGCCGCCUGGGGAGUACGGUCGCAAGAUUAAAACUCAAAGAAAUUGACGGGGACCCGCACAAGCGGUGGAGUAUGUGGCUUAAUUCGAUGCAACGCGAAGAAUCUUACCUGGGCUUGACAUGUAAUGAACAACAUGUGAAAGCAUGCGACUCUUCGGAGGCGUUACACAGGUGCUGCAUGGCCGUCGUCAGCUCGUGUCGUGAGAUGUUUGGUUAAGUCCAGCAACGAGCGCAACCCCUGUUGCCAGUUACCAGCACGUGAAGGUGGGGACUCUGGCGAGACUGCCCAGAUCAACUGGGAGGAAGGUGGGGACGACGUCAGGUCAGUAUGGCCCUUAUGCCCAGGGCUGCACACGUACUACAAUGCCCAGUACAGAGGGGGCCGAAGCCGCGAGGCGGAGGAAAUCCUGAAAACUGGGCCCAGUUCGGACUGUAGGCUGCAACCCGCCUACACGAAGCCGGAAUCGCUAGUAAUGGCGCAUCAGCUACGGCGCCGUGAAUACGUUCCCGGGUCUUGUACACACCGCCCGUCACAUCAUGGAAGCCGGUCGCACCCGAAGUAUCUGAAGCCAACCGCAAGGAGGCAGGGUCCUAAGGUGAGACUGGUAACUGGGAUG